rnacentral:misc_RNA from 1 species
CUAGAGCGUUAGUAUGAUCUACGUAAUGUACACAGUGAUUUGAAAAUAAUAAACUUUUUUAACUUCCUCGUUUAAAACUAAAAAUGUUUGGAACUAUUUUAAUUUUCAUAGAUAUAUUUCUUUAUUGCAAAGGUAACAGUGUUUAUUUAGCCGGAUAUCAUGGCAGAAAUUAUGGUCGAGUGGAAAUAUAUACGAACAAUAUGAACGGGACAAUCUGUGACGACAGCUGGGACAAUGACGAUGCAAGAGUAGUUUGCAGAGAGCUCGGUCUUCCCACGUCUUAUGCUACAGCCUUGAGUUCCGCCACUUUGGGUUUAGGCUCUGGGCCAAUCUGGAUGGAUGAUGUAGAUUGUCGUGGAACAGAAAGCAAAAUUACAUCAUGCAGCUUUCCUGGAUAUGGAAAACACAACUGUGAUCAUAGCGAAGAUGCUGCAGUUUUAUGCCAAGGGACUUAUCUGUCCAUAUACUUCGGCGGAAACCAUGGAACUAACUUUGGAAGAGUUCAGGUAAUAACUGGAAGAAAUAAGUCAAUCGGAACAGUGUGUGACGAUGAAUGGGACGAACACGAUGCAGCUGUUGUUUGUCGACAACUUGGACAUCCUACGUCUUAUCCGCGGCCAAUGACAAGUGCAUACUUUGGAACUGGAACGGGUCCAAUAUGGCUGGACAAUGUCGGCUGUAGCGGUACUGAAGCAAAUUUGAACUCGUGUUCUAAAAAUAGCUUGGGAAAUAAUGACUGUGGCCAUUCAGAGGAUGCUGGCGUGAUAUGUGGAUAUAAUCUCGAAGUUCGCCUGAAAAAUAUGGAAUUCACUGCAAACCAUAAUAAAGACGGGAUAAUUCAGAUUCUGUUCAAAGGUCAUUGGGUCAACGUCAAAUAUGGAGCACUUACUACUAAUGAAGAAACGGUACUCUGUCGACAACUUGGAUUCAAAACUACAAAUACAUCAAGAAAUACUUAUAGAGUGAAAAUUGACAGUGUGAUUUUCAAGAACGCACAAAUGGUAACAUCUGUCAAAUGUGACGGAAAUGAGAGAAACGUUGGUCCACUGUCAGUUUACUGUGACAGAUUCGGGUGUAGUUUAUAACCCAUCAGGCUUUGACGACGCCAAUAAGACUACAUACCUCGUUUGCGGAGAAAUCGGGACAGGUAAAUUGCAAUUCCUUAAUAGUUCCCACACAGGCGACCAAAUUAUUGUCAACAGUGGUGUUUCAACUGAUUUAGUUUGUGUUGCCGGUCCAUCCAUUCCAAGACAGACUAUCACAUGGAAUUUUCUUCUUGAAUA